UACGUAGGUGACAAGCGUUGUCCGGAUUUACUGGGCGUAAAGAGCGCGCAGGCGGUCGUUCAAGUCGAGUGUGAAAGCCCCCGGCUCAACUGGGGAGGGUCAUUCGAUACUGAUCGACUCGAAGGCAGGAGAGGGAAGUGGAAUUCCCGGUGUAGUGGUGAAAUGCGUAGAUAUCGGGAGGAACACCUGUGGCGAAAGCGGCGCACUGGACCAUAACUGACGCUGAGGCGCGAAAAGCUAGGG
rnacentral:rRNA from 1 species